UGUGGGAGCGGGCUUGCUCGCGAUGGGCGUCACCCGGUUUGCUGAUAAACCGUGGUGCUACCAUCGCGAGCAAGCCCGCUCCCACG
rnacentral:antisense_RNA from 1 species